GAUGAACGCUGGCGGCGUGCUUAACACAUGCAAGUCGAACGAGAAGUGAAGACGGAAACCUUCGGGCGGAAGGCUUUAUUUCGAGUGGCGGACGGGUGAGUAACGCGUGGGUAACCUGCCUCAUACAGGGGGAUAACAGUUGGAAACGACUGUUAAUACCGCAUAAGACCACAGCACCGCAUGGUGCGGGGGUAAAAACUCCGGUGGUAUGAGAUGGACCCGCGUUCGAUUAGCCAGUUGGCGGGGUAACGGCCCACCAAAGCGACGAUCGAUAGCCGAUCUGAGAGGAUGACCGGCCACAUUGGGAGUGAGACACGGCCCAAACUCCUACGGGAGGCAGCAGUGGGGAAUAUUGCACAAUGGGGGAAACCCUGAUGCAGCGACGCCGCGUGAGUGAAGAAGUAUUUCGGUAUGUAAAGCUCUAUCAGCAGGGAAGAAAAUGACGGUACCUGAGUAAGAAGCCCCGGCUAACUACGUG
rnacentral:rRNA from 1 species